GGGGUUUGAUCAUGGCUCAAUUGAACGCUGGCGGCAUGCCUUACACAUGCAAGUCGAACGGCAGCACGGGGGCAACCCUGGUGGCGAGUGGCGAACGGGUGAGUAAUACAUCGGAACGUGUCCUGUAGUGGGGGAUAGCCCGGCGAAAGCCGGAUUAAUACCGCAUACGACCUGAGGGAGAAAGCGGGGGAUCUUCGGACCUCGCGCUGGAGGGGCGGCCGAUGGCAGAUUAGCUAGUUGGUGGGGUAAAGGCCUACCAAGGCGACGAUCUGUAGCUGGUCUGAGAGGACGACCAGCCACACUGGGACUGAGACACGGCCCAGACUCCUACGGGAGGCAGCAGUGGGGAAUUUUGGACAAUGGGGGCAACCCUGAUCCAGCAAUGCCGCGUGUGUGAAGAAGGCCUUCGGGUUGUAAAGCACUUUUGUCCGGAAAGAAAACUUCGCCGUUAAUACCGGUGGAGGAUGACGGUACCGGAAGAAUAAGCACCGGCUAACUACGUGCCAGCAGCCGCGGUAAUACGUAGGGUGCGAGCGUUAAUCGGAAUUACUGGGCGUAAAGCGUGCGCAGGCGGUCUGUUAAGACCGAUGUGAAAUCCCCGGGCUUAACCUGGGAACUGCAUUGGUGACUGGCAGCUUUGAGUGUGGCAGAGGGGGGGUAGAAU
rnacentral:rRNA from 1 species